AGUGCUGGGAUUACAGGUGUGAGCCACUGCACCUGGCCUAAUUUUUGUAUUUUUAUUAGAGACGGGACUUUGCCAUGUUGCUCAGGCUGGUCUUAAACUCCUGACUUCAAACUCCUGAUCCAUCCUUCUUGGCCUCCCAAAGUGCUGGGAUUACAAGUGUCAGCCACUGUGCCUGGCCUCAGCUGUUAUUCUUCAUGCGUAUAUUUGUUUUGUUCAUUUGGGGCACCUUGUUGGUUAUCAUAAAUUUUGGUGUGAUCAGGUACUGCUCCUUAAUAAUACUGUAUUUGGCUGGGCGUGAGCCACCGUGCCUGGGCUUUAACUCAGGAUUUCAUAAAGAAAACAAGAUUGAGAAAAACCAAAUCUGUUUGUUGUAUAAAAUAAUGUAUAGCUCUGAAUAGUCAUGUCUGAUUUUGGGUAAAAUGCUAAAAGACUAUUCUUCUAUGAAGUGCUUUUUACUUUUGCAGUUUUAGGUGGCAAAAUAAUUUCAUAUUCUUAUUUCCUCACAGAAACCAUAUGUCUGUGGUUGCUUCUUAGCUCUAUCAAAUAUCCACCUAAGUGCACCAGUAGGUUAAAUUGUUUCUCAUAAAAGGUUAGUUUUGACAAAUUUUUGCUGUUAGCUUUUCAUUAUCACCAGAUCUUGACUGUACUGGCACAAUGGUGUAUAAAAUCUAGAGAGGAAACAAAUCAAUGUGAACCAUAGCAUAGUUAAUGGGUCUUCUCCAAAGCACUUAUUUGGUUAGAUAAAAGUACAUAAAGCACUUCUCACUGUGUCUGGUA
rnacentral:lncRNA from 1 species